rnacentral:tRNA from 1 species
UAGAAUAUGGUGUAUGUGGUAGCACGAAGAAUUUUGAGUUCUUAAGAUUAGGUUCAAAUCCUAUGAUUCUAG